GGGUAACCUGCCCAUAAGACUGGGAUAACUCCGGGAAACCGGGGCUAAUACCGGAUAACAUUUUGAACCGCAUGGUUCGAAAUUGAAAGGGGGCUUCGGCUGUCACUUAUGGAUGGACCCGCGUCGCAUUAGCUAGUUGGUGAGGUAACGGCUCACCAAGGCAACGAUGCGUAGCCGACCUGAGAGGGUGAUCGGCCACACUGGGACUGAGACACGGCCCAGACUCCUACGGGAGGCAGCAGUAGGGAAUCUUCCGCAAUGGACGAAAGUCUGACGGAGCAACGCCGCGUGAGUGAUGAAGGCUUUCGGGUCGUAAAACUCUGUUGUUAGGGAAGAACAAGUGCUAGUUGAAUAAGCUGGCACCUUGACGGUACCUAACCAGAAAGCCACGGCUAACUACGUGCCAGCAGCCGCGGUAAUACGUAGGUGGCAAGCGUUAUCCGGAAUUAUUGGGCGU
rnacentral:rRNA from 1 species